GUAGGUUAGAAAGUUCAGAUUGGAUUUGAACAGGCUGGUUAAACUUUCGAGGUGGGUUGGUUUAAAUAAAGAUGCUGUCACUUUAACCUCUGGGGUUGGUUCCAGUGUGUCAGGGCACACAGUUGGGAGCCGGGUCCGGAACAUAGUCACUGCCUGCCUCAGA